rnacentral:rRNA from 1 species
GAUGAACGCUGGCGGCGUGCCUAAUACAUGCAAGUCGUGCGGCAGCGAGCCCUUCGGGGUGUCGGCGAGCGGCGGACGGCUGAGUAACGCGUAGGAACGUACCCCAAAGUGAGGGAUAACUGCCCGAAAGGGUGGCUAAUACCGCAUGUGCUCUUCGGAGUAAAGCUAUAUGCGCUUUGGGAACGGCCUGCGUUCGAUUAGCUAGUUGGUGAGGUAAAUGCUCACCAAGGCGACGAUCGAUAGCUGGUCUGAGAGGAUGAUCAGCCAGACUGGAACUGAGACACGGUCCAGACUCCUACGGGAGGCAGCAGUAGGGAAUUUUCCACAAUGGGCGAAAGCCUGAUGGAGCAACGCCGCGUGCAGGAUGAAUGCCUUCGGGUUGUAAACUGCUUUUAUGUGCGAAGAAUUUGACGGUAACACAUGAAUAAGGAUCGGCUAACUACGUGCCAGCCGCCGCAGUAA